UCUCCGUAGGUGAACCUGCGGAGGGAUCAUUACAGAGUUCGUGCCCUCGCGGGUAGAACUUCCACCCUGUGUUAUUGCUACCUUUGUUGCUUUGGCGGGCCGCCCUCGGCUACCGGUCCCGGCUGGUACGCGCCCGCCACAGGAGACCAAACCCUUAACGUCAAUAACGCCUGAAUAAUAUACAAUAGUUAAAACUUUCUACAACGGAACCCUUGCUUCUCGCAUCGAUGAAGAACGCAACAGAACUGAAGAGCAAACGUCUGAAAUCCAGUCACCCAC
rnacentral:misc_RNA from 1 species